AUGAUCCCCAAUUCACUUUUGAAAGCUGUACUUGUCUACUCGCCAGAUCAAAAGCUUCCAAAACAUUUCCCCCAAAUUUCUCUAUCUGCAUUUUCAAAUUUCUCUCAACUUUUCCUCUCAUCUGCGUUCUCUCCUGAGUGGUGUAGAUGAAUCGAAGAUAACAAUCAAAGGGAAGAUGACGAUCGACGUUAAAUUGAAGGUUCAGUAGGUCUGGCCGGUCUUUCGUCACCCUUGGAGAGUUGUUCAUCUCUCUUGGUCGUGUUUUGGCCAUCCGAGAAGCAGUGGUCUAUUAGCCUUCAAUGGGUGCUGAAGAGUUCUAGGGCUUGAUGGUGCUUUUGUAGAGAAACUGACUAGCAAUAUGUGGAAAACGACACCAAUCUGUGUUUUUGGGUGGUUAGUGAUCCAUAUUUUAUAUUUUAAUAAUUAUGCUAAUUUAAGUGUUUUGUUAUGGGAAUGAUACAUUUAUGAAUCUGAAUUAAACUAUGAAACCUUUAUAGUUUGUAUCUCAGUAGAUUGUAACUGGAGUUUACUGAUUACUGGUAUUGUGUUCUUUCUUUUAUGAGCAUCUUACAUUUGACAAUCUUAAUGACUUAUAUGGAUUAAAUUUGGUGAGAUCGUGCGAUAGCUUACAA
rnacentral:lncRNA from 1 species